ensembl:piRNA 21ur-13094 ncRNA
UUAAUGGACUGUUGAUCUUUA